rnacentral:rRNA from 1 species
UGCCAGCCGCCGCGGUAAUACAGAGGUUGCAAGCGUUGUUCGGAUUUACUGGGCGUAAAGGGUGCGUAGGCUGUUUGAUGUGUCAGAUGUGAAAGCCCAUGGCUCAACCAUGGAACUGCAUUUGAAACUGUCAAACUAGAGUAUCGGAGAGGUAGAUGGAAUUCUUAGUGUAGCGGUGAAAUGCGUAGAUAUUAAGAAGAACACCAGCGGCGAAAGCGAUCUACUGGACGAAUACUGACGCUGAGGCACGAAAGCCAGGGGAGCGAAGAGGAUUAGAUA